CUACGUGCCAGCAGCCGCGGUAAUACGUAUGUCACGAGCGUUAUCCGGAUUUAUUGGGCGUAAAGCGCGUCUAGGUGGUUAUGUAAGUCUGAUGUGAAAAUGCAGGGCUCAACUCUGUAUUGCGUUGGAAACUGUAUAACUAGAGUACUGGAGAGGUAAGCGGAACUACAAGUGUAGAGGUGAAAUUCGUAGAUAUUUGUAGGAAUGCCGAUGGGGAAGCCAGCUUACUGGACAGAUACUGACGCUGAAGCGCGAAAGCGUGGGUAGCAAACAGGAUUAGAUACCCUGGUAGUCCACGCCGUAAACGAUGAGUGCUAGGUGUUAGACCCUUUCCGGGGUUUAGUGCCGCAGCUAACGCAUUAAGCACUCCGCCUGGGGAGUACGACCGCAAGGUUGAAACUCAAAGGAAUUGACGGGGGCCCGCACAAGCGGUGGAGCAUGUGGUUUAAUUCGAAGCAACGCGAAGAACCUUACCAGGUCUUGACAUCCCUCUGACCACUCUAGAGAUAGAGUUUUCUUCGG
rnacentral:rRNA from 1 species